AUAAAGAUUCUUGGAACCAGAAGUAACAGAGCACGGAUAUCGGGAGGAAGACCAGGCACCAGGCACCAGGCACCCGGCACCCUGGAUAACACAGCACGAGAGCGAGAGAAACAAAUAACAUGCAGGAGCCCUGUUUCCCCCCCUCCUUCCGUUGACAACACAGUGCCUGGAGAAAGAGGAUACCAGCGGGAGGGGAAGAGAGAGCGAGAGGGAACCCAGACGGAGGAGGCCAGCAUCACUCAGGCUGCCCCUCACAAGGCUAACCACACUCCCCCCGCAGGUGGUGUCGCUGCAACGUUGUCGACGGAGGGGAGUUGGUCCGCUGUCGUUACAGGAACUGGACUAAGGCCGAAUCGGGGAGGAGGAAAUCAGAAGUCUUGCGAAGAGGAUGUUUGGUGCGAGACUUUGUGUAGUGGCGAUUGUCACUUAUGUGACUAUAAUAACUUUGUGUUUGUCUGUCGCAACAAAUACUACCCCUACACAGGGUAGGGGGACAAUUGGUGCACUGCUGGUGUGAAUUAAUUUUUUAGCAAGUUUUAGAAAAGUUUAACUGUUCUUUCUUUAUUUUUGUGUGGUGAUUUUGGCUGUGACAACAUUGCUGUGAUUAUUCAUUUUACCAUAGUUUUUAGAACUAUUUGCUGUGUAGUUGCUGUGCUGUGUGUUCUAGUGUUCUGUGCUAUUAAUUUUAUUUUUGAUAAUUACCUUGGCCGUUGUAUCUGUUCAUCCUGGUUGGGGUUGAGGGUGGUCCACUGGAAUUCAAAAUCAGCCUGCACAGGAAAGAAAGGCAAAGGGUUAGUCAUUAGGGCUAACAGAGUUAUACACUUACCUGAGCUACCUGUAACAUUUACACGGAGGACUAUUGCUUACUGAGAUUAAUGUGCCAGUUAAUGUUAUUUUGGUAUUAACCUUCUUUUAUCAUAUUUUAGUCACAACUUUUGACAACAUUUAUAAAAUAUAUAACAGUGCUGUGUGUUUUAUUGUGCAAUUGUUUGUCCCGAUCUU